GACGAACGCUGGCGGCGUGCUUAACACAUGCAAGUCGAACGAAAAGAGGGAAAGAGCUUGCUCUUUCCGGAAUUGAGUGGCAAACGGGUGAGUAACACGUAAACAACCUGCCUUCAGGAUGGGGACAACAGACGGAAACGACUGCUAAUACCGAAUAAGUUCCAAGGGCCGCAUGGCCCAUGGAAGAAAAGGUGGCCUCUACCUGUAAGCUAUCGCCUGAAGAGGGGUUUGCGUCUGAUUAGCUGGUUGGAGGGGUAACGGCCCACCAAGGCGACGAUCAGUAGCCGGUCUGAGAGGAUGAACGGCCACACUGGAACUGAGACACGGUCCAGACUCCUACGGGAGGCAGCAGUGGGGAAUCUUCCGCAAUGGGCGAAAGCCUGACGGAGCAACGCCGCGUGAGGGAUGACGGCCUUCGGGUUGUAAAACUCUGUGAUCCGGGACGAAAAGGCAGAGUGCGAAGAACAAACUGCAUUGACGGUACCGGAAAAGCAAGCCACGGCUAACUACGUG
rnacentral:rRNA from 1 species